rnacentral:rRNA from 1 species
GACGAACGCUGGCGGCGUGCCUAAUACAUGCAAGUUGAGCGCUGAAGGUUGGUACUUGUACCAACUGGAUGAGCAGCGAACGGGUGAGUAACGCGUGGGGAAUCUGCCUUUGAGCGGGGGACAACAUUUGGAAACGAAUGCUAAUACCGCAUAAAAACUUUAAACACAAGUUUUAAGUUUGAAAGAUGCAAUUGCAUCACUCAAAGAUGAUCCCGCGUUGUAUUAGCUAGUUGGUGAGGUAAAGGCUCACCAAGGCGAUGAUACAUAGCCGACCUGAGAGGGUGAUCGGCCACAUUGGGACUGAGACACGGCCCAAACUCCUACGGGAGGCAGCAGUAGGGAAUCUUCGGCAAGGGACGAAAGUCUGACCGAGCAACGCCGCGUGAGGGAAGAAGGUUUUCGGAUCGUAAAACUCUGUUGGUAGAGAAGAACGUUGGUGAGAGUGGAAAGCUCAUCAAGUGACGGUAACUACCCAGAAAGGGACGGUUAACUACGUG